rnacentral:misc_RNA from 1 species
UGCGGAAGUUGCAGAACUCAUCCGCCACGACUCUCUUUGCACCGCUGCCGCAGGCCUGGACCGCCCAUCCUUCACCUUGCAGCCUUGAAAGCCUCAAAGACACUCGCGCACGCGAACGGACGCCUUUCGUGUGUGCGUCUCUCCGAUCGGCUCGCUCUCGGCUCGUCUUUUCAUCAUUACUUCGUGCGCAAUGGAGGACGCGGCCCCUACCAAGCAAGAUCGUCGCAUCUACAAGGUGCUGCGUGACCGAUGCGAUACCCCUCGCGUCCUCUUCUCCACCGAGGAUCCGCUCGUCCUCGUGCGCCAUGGCGACCGGUGCUACGUCUUUCUGUUCAGCACCAAGUACUAUACCUACAUGGUCAAGAGCAAAGGUUUCAAGCUGUAUGCGGUGUGGGCGAAUCGGCAGCUGUCUGUGACAGCUCGGUCGGACCGGAUCACCCUAACGUCGCUUGACCCGCGCGCCAUGAAAGCAACGCCGCAGUCCUACAAGGAGACGACGGACGCCGCUGUCAACGAGUUCAGCACGGUCACACUGGAGACGAAGUCGGCGCUGAAGGCAGCGGAGGUGGAGGAGCGUAUAAUGUACCUUGUUGAAAGUGCGCAGCGCACGGCGGCGGUGCUGGAGCAGCAGGAACGUGGCAUUGCGCUUGACGGGGGCCGCUACCUUGGCGACAACGAUGACGACGCCCACUCCGGCAGCUCCUCUGAUAGCGAGGACGGUGACAGCGGCGGUACGUCCAUAUCCGCCACACUCGUCUCGGCAGCCGCUCGUGCAGCGGUUCAGCAGGGAGACGGAGGGCGCAAAAAGAAGGUUUCCGAAGGGGGGCUGCACAUGGCCCCAUCGCGCUACAUCGCCAUCACAUCCCUUGUGGAUGGCGAGUUUGCUGACUACACGACGCUCAAGAAUGCGUACAUGCGGCAUGAGGAGGAGGACCUGCUGCGGGACUUGGGCGUCUUCAUCAAAGAAAACGAAGGUCAGGUGGAGGCGUUGUGCGAGCACCACUACCCGGCCCUCAUCCACGCCGCGCAGCAGUGCGUGAGCAUCUCUGAGCGGGACGCCGAGCUCGUAGGCGAGGAGCUCAGCGGCGCCACUGCCCUCGUGCGCACCGCUGUCGUGAACAUGAAGAAGGCUACCUCCAGCCUCCUCUUGUCACGCAGCACCCGCGACAACCUGCAGCAGGUGCGCAGCCUUCUCUCCAAAGCCAUUGCCGUCGCCGAGUAUCUCGAGACAGCGGAGUCGCAGACGCAGCGCCAGCAGCUCGUUGGGGCGGUGGCCACGCUGCGCGAGCUGAUUCGCCUGGCCGCGCCGCUUAGCGAGUACGCCAUUGGCGAGUACGUGCUGCAUGUUCGCGUCCCGGCACUCACGCAGGAUGUCUUCAGUUACGCCGUGCAGCAUCUCAACAACUGGCUGCGUGUCCUGCGGGACAAGGCGUAUCCGAUUGGGAAGGCUGCGAUGGAGUGGCAAGGCACCGUGGCCGCCGGUCGCCUUUCCUCGCACCUCGUCAUGGCCGAGGCAAGCGAGCAGUGGUGGCUGAACGAGGAGUUUGUGCCAGCGCAGCUGGAGCUGGCGCCGUUCGCCGAGGCGGAGGCGAUCACUGCGGUGUCCAACGGUGCCGGAAUCCAAGCCGUCUUCAUAGAGCUGCACCGCGAGGAGUACCUCGACAAGUACUACACAGAGGGCCGGUGGCAACAGGCGCGCGCUGAUCUGCUGGAGUGUCCGCUGACGUUGGCGAACCUGUCGCCUGCCGAAGUGCUCAGCAAGUUCCGCGAGUACUGCGCCACAGCCAUGGGGUUCAUUUUAAUCGAGGACAUAGUUUACGGCGCCACCUCGCCGCACCUUCGCUCCCGGGCCGAGAUUAUCCAGCUGUGGGCCAGCCUCUCUGCCAAGAUUGCCGAGCACGCCCUCAAGGUGCUGCAGGUCCUGCUGGCAAACCCUAGCGAGACAAGCGAGGCUGUCCAGCAGGUCCAGGUACUGCAGUCGCUCAUCCGCUGUGCCGCCGACAACGUGAAAUGUGUCGAGCUAAGCAACCUGCCCCUUAUGCGCGCGAUGGAGACGGCGAGCGACCAGCUGAUCAGCUCAUGGCUGCAGCAGGCCUGUGUUGACUGCAUGCAGCUCAUUAUGAGCGAUACGUUUGCCCCCGCCGUGGCCACGGAUGCCGCGCAAUAUGCCGAGCUUGUUGCGCGCUUCUACUUCCACAGGUGCACCUCUCUGGAGCUGAGCAUCCCAAGCGCCUACACUAGUGGCGCCCUAACGCUGCCCUACAGUGCUGUCGUGCCGCGCAUCGGUGAGUGCGUUCUCGGCUUCCUUACGCAGUGCUACUCCACCAUCAUCACCGACACGUCCACCGUCGUGAUGCAGUCGGAGCUGAACAACGUGGACGAGAUGCUGCUCAAGUACCUGACGGUGCUCUUCCGCACAGUGGCAGAGUCGAUGCAGGGUCAGCUCAUGUCCAUCGAUGCGCGAGCCGUUCUGCAGCUCGCAGUCUACGUGACGAGCUGCUCUAUGAUGCCAGUGCUCAUAUCAUGCGCGGAACAGCAGUACAUGCUGCACUGGCAAUGUCAUUACGAGCGGGAGAAGACGCAGACAAUCGGGGCACCGAAGCUGAUGGCACACUGCGUCAAGUUCUUCACCAAGUCUCUGCAGCUCGGGAUUGAGCGGCUGCUCUCGGCGAUCAUGAAGGAGGUCGAGGUGCGGCUGCAGGCCGUAGACUCCAUGUCGUACUGGAAGGCGCAGGUCGAGGCGCGCCGACAGAACCAAAAAGAUAACGGCGAGGCCUUUGCGUCCUGCAUGGAGUACAUUCUCACGAUGAUUCCCAAGCUGAGCUCCGUCCUGCAGAGCACCGUCGUGCGCAGUGUCGUGGGAACGGCGAUCACGCGAGCAGCAGUUCUCAUGCAGUCCAGCUUGCACACAGCCAUCACAAACGCCUAUCAAGACGGUGCGCGCGACUUUUCUAUAUGGAAAGAAGCCAUCGAGGAGUACGAGAGUCAGUGCACCAUGGGUGUCCCUCUGUGGCAGCGCCGUCUUGGUGAGCUUCUGCCGGGUAUCAGUGGGGCACAACGCUUCCCACUCAACGCGGCGGUCGCAGUGCAGGAGGUGCAUCAGUGGAUGGAUCCGAAGGAGCAGGCGUACAAGGCGGACAAGGCGAGCCAGCCACAGAUCUUAGCUGGCAUCGAAGGCGCCGGCAAGGCUGUGGCGAAGGGUUUCCAAGCAGUGGGCAAGGGCGUCGCUGCCAGAGCCAGUGUCUUUGGGAAAGGGCCACAGCAGCAGCAGUAGCUGCCGCACAGUUGUGGCGAUUCCAGUGUCGCGUGUCGGCCCUCACGCCGGCCGUGUGAACAGUCGACAUGGGUACGCUUAUCGCCGUCUGUGUCUUGUCACUCGUGUUGUCGCUGUCGGCGCCCUCGCACGUGCGUCCUCAUCUGCUC